rnacentral:rRNA from 1 species
CCUACGGGGGGCAGCAGUAGGGAAUCUUCCACAAUGGGCGAAAGCCUGAUGGAGCAACGCCGCGUGGGUGAAGAAGGUCUUCGGAUCGUAAAACCCUGUUGUUAGAGAAGUAAGUGCGUGAGAGUAACUGUUCACGUUUCGACGUUAUCUAACCAGACAGCCACGGCUAACUCCGUGCCAGCAGCCGCGGUAAUACGUAGGUGGCAAGCGUUAUCCGGUUUUAUUGGGCGUAAAGGGAACGCAGGCGGUCUUUUAAGUCUGAUGUGAAAGCCUUCGGCUUAACCGGAGUAGUGCAUUGGAAACUGGGAGACUUGAGUGCAGAAGAGGAGAGUGGAACUCCAGGUGUAGCGGUGAAAUGCGUAGAUAUAUGGAAGAACACCAGUGGCGAAGGCGGCUUUCUGGUCUGUAACUGACGCUGAGGUUCGAAAGCGUGGGUAGCAAACAGGAUUAGAUACCCUAGUAGUC